GAUGAACGCUGGCGGCGUGCCUAAUACAUGCAAGUCGAGCGAACAGACGAGGAGCUUGUUCCUCGGACGUUAGCGGCGGACGGGUGAGUAACACGUGGAUAACCUACCUAUAAGACUGGGAUAAUCUCGGGAAACCGGAGCUAAUACCGGAGAAUAUAUUGAACCGCGUGGUGGAAUAGUGAAAUACGGUGUUGCUGUCACUUCUAGAUGGUUCUGCGCCGCAUGAGAUAGUUGGUAAGGUCACGGCUUUCGAAGGCAAGGAGGCGUAGACGACCUGAGAGGGUGAUCGGCCACACUGGAGCUGAGACACGGUCCAGACUACUACGGGAGGCAGCAGUAGGGAAUCUUACGCAAUGGGCGAAAGCCUGACGGAGCAACGCCGCGUGAGUUAUGAAGGUCUUCGGAUCGUAAAACUCCGUUAUUAGGGAAGAACAAAUGUGUAAGUAACUAUGCACGUCUUGACGGUACCUAAUCAGAAAGCCACGGCUAACUACGUG
rnacentral:rRNA from 1 species